CUAUGAUUAAGGAUUAUUAUUUGACCACAUGCAUUAUUCACCACAUUUUAAGCAAAGUAAUUGCUUUGACCACAUAAACUAAGGUAAUUGAUUAGACCACAUGCAUUAUUUACAACAAAAUUCAAGUCGAGUCAAUUGAUUUGAUCACAUGAUUAAAGGAAUUGAUUUGACAACUUUCAAGAUAUGCACCAAUUAUGCUUUGACCAUACCUAACAUAUAGUCAUUUCCUUUCAAUUUUCCGUACAUGGUCCAAGAACUUGCACUAUAAAUAGGAGUUAAACUGAAUACCGAAUUAUCCCUCACCAAUUAUUUACACUCUUCCUCUCUCUCUCUAUCACUUUGUCUCUACACCUUUACUCUUUCUCUUGUCUUUUUCAUAUUAAAUUUAGUUACACACUUACACAAUCACACAACCUAACACGGGCUCAAGGAUCUCCCUCCAACAAUCACUUCUAUCAUUUUUGAAUUAUCAAGUGAAAGGUAAAUGUAGUAAUACGAAU
rnacentral:lncRNA from 1 species